UUCCGAUCCGCUUCGCCCCUCCGCGUACAUUGCAGCGCAGCGUAGUUUGCGGGGCGAUCCGUGCACUGGUUGGAUCGGAUUGGUGACGCCAUUGGUCGGCGCUUCGCAGGUCCUGAUCGGAAGCGGAACCCGUGGCGUGGUAGGAUCGGAUCGGAGGUGGACGACGGAGGGUCUGCCGCCUCUGGCCGAUCGCGCGGCUAUAUCAUCAAUUAAACCCUGAUGCGUUGUGAUAUUAUUGGACCCGCAGCGGCAGCGAAAAGAUUCACGGCGCCCUCAUCCAGUCCAACCGGUUCUUGAACAAUUGAAUUAAACUCAAUUGACGGCGAGAUGGGAUUAUAGGCGCGGGCAUAGGCGUGUAGCGGUGAUCCCCUAGGGUUUCCUUGCUGGCCGGAGGAAACUCUAGGGAUCUUUCUCUUUUUUCUCCAUGGU